rnacentral:rRNA from 1 species
AGGACGAACGCUGGCGGCGUGCUUAACACAUGCAAGUCGAACGAGGUGCUUGCACCUAGUGGCGAACGGGUGAGUAACACGUGAGCAACCUGCCCUUGGCUCUGGGAUAGCCUCCGGAAACGGGGAUUAAUACCGGACAUGACCUUCUUCCGCAUGGUGGAGGGUGGAAAGUUUUUCGGCCAGGGAGGGGCUCGCGGCCUAUCAGCUUGUUGGAGGGGUAACGGCCCACCAAGGCGACGACGGGUAG